UACGGAGGGUGCAAGCGUUAUCCGGAUUCACUGGGUUUAAAGGGUGCGUAGGUGGUUUGUUAAGUCUGCUGUGAAAUCCCCGGGCUCAACCUGGGAAUGGCAGUGGAUACUGGCAAGCUAGAGUGCGGUAGAGGGUAGUGGAAUUCCCGGUGUAGCAGUGAAAUGCGUAGAGAUCGGGAGGAACACCAGUGGCGAAGGCGGCUACCUGGACCAGCACUGACACUGAAGCACGAAAGCGUGGGGAGCAAACAGG
rnacentral:rRNA from 1 species